AUUGAACGCUGGCGGCAGGCCUAACACAUGCAAGUCGAACGAGUGGCGGAGGGGUGAGUAAUGUCUGGGAAAGUGCCUGAUGGAGGGGGAUAACUAGGGGAAACGGUAGCUAAUACCGCAUACCAUCGGAUGUGCCCAGAUGGGAUUAGCUAGUAGGUGGGGUAACGGCUCACCGAGGCGACGAUCCCUAGCUGGUCUGAGAGGAUGACCAGCCACACUGGAACUGAGACACGGUCCAGACUCCUACGGGAGGCAGCAGUGGGGAAUAUUGCACAAUGGGCGCAAGCCUGAUGCAGCCAUGCCGCGUGUAUGAAGAAGGCCUUCGGGUUGUAAAGUACUUUCAGCGGGGAGGCGUUACCCGCAGAAGAAGCACCGGCUAACUCCGUGCCAGCAGCCGCGGUAAUUC
rnacentral:rRNA from 1 species